rnacentral:rRNA from 1 species
AGCGAACGUUAGCGGCGGGCUUAACACAUGCAAGUCGAACGCGAAAGGGAUUCGUCCCCAGUAGCGUGGCGUCCGGGUGAGUAACACGUAGGAAACCUUGCCUAGAGUGGGGGAUAACGUCCCGAAAGGGACGCUAAUACCGCAUAAGCCCACGUCGGCCUCGGCCGAUGCGGGAAAAGAUGGCCUCUGAAUUCAAGCUAUCGCUCAAGGAUGGUCCUGCGGCGCAUCAGCUAGUUGUGGGUAACGGCCUACCAAGGCGAAGACGCGUAGCUGGUCUGAGAGGAUGAUCAGCCACACUGGCACUGAAACACGGGCCAGACUCCUACGGGAGGCAGCAGUGGGGAAUAUUGGACAAUGGGCGCAAGCCUGAUCCAGCCACGCCGCGUGAGUGAUGAAGGCC